GACGAACGCUGGCGGCGUGCUUAACACAUGCAAGUCGAACGGAAAGGCCCUGCUUUUGUGGGGUGCUCGAGUGGCGAACGGGUGAGUAACACGUGAGUAACCUGCUCUUGACUUUGGGAUAACUUCAGGAAACUGGGGCUAAUACCGGAUAGGAGCUCCUGCUGCAUGGUGGGGGUUGGAAAGUCUCGGCGGUUGGGGAUGGACUCGCGGCUUAUCAGCUUGUUGGUGGGGUAGUGGCUUACCAAGGCGAUGACGGGUAGCUGGCCGGAGAGGGUGACCGGCCACACUGGAACGGAGACACGGUGCAGAGGCCUACGGGAGGCAGCAGGGGGGAAUAUUGGACAAUGGGCGGAAGCCUGAUCCAGCCAUACAGCGUGGGUGAAGAAGGCAUGCGGGUGGUAAAGCCCGUUGGGUGGGAAAGAAAAGCAGCAGGUUAAUACCCCGCGGGGCUGACGGUACCCAAAGAAUAAGCAACGGCUAACUUCGUG
rnacentral:rRNA from 1 species